UGGGGAAUUUUGGACAAUGGGGGAAACCCUGAUCCAGCCAUGCCGCGUGAGUGAAGAAGGCCUUCGGGUUGUAAAGCUCUUUCAGCCGGAAAGAAAGCGCACAGGUUAAUACCUUGUGUGGAUGACGGUACCGGAAGAAGAAGCACCGGCUAACUACGUGCCAGCAGCCGCGGUAAUACGUAGGGUGCGAGCGUUAAUCGGAAUUACUGGGCGUAAAGCGUGCGCAGGCGGUUUUGUAAAACCAUGUGAAAUCCCCGGGCUUAACCUGGGAACUGCAUAGGUGACUGCAAGGCUAGAGUACGGCAGAGGGGGGUAGAAUUCCACGUGUAGCAGUGAAAUGCGUAGAUAUGUGGAGGAAUACCGAUGGCGAAGGCAGCCCCCUGGGUCGAUACUGACGCUCAUGCACGAAAGCGUGGGGAGCAAACAGGAUUAGAUACCCGGGUAGUCCCUGAGCGGGCUGGCAAGGCGCAU
rnacentral:rRNA from 1 species